rnacentral:rRNA from 1 species
UACGUAGGGUGCAAGCGUUAAUCGGAAUUACUGGGCGUAAAGCGUGCGCAGGCGGUGAUGUAAGACAGUUGUGAAAUCCCCGGGCUCAACCUGGGAACUGCAUCUGUGACUGCAUCGCUGGAGUGCGGCAGAGGGGGAUGGAAUUCCGCGUGUAGCAGUGAAAUGCGUAGAUAUGCGGAGGAACACCGAUGGCGAAGGCAAUCCCCUGGGCCUGCACUGACGCUGAGGCGCGAAAGCCAGGGGAGCGAACGGG